CACCCGGAGGCAACUAAGGCCGCCCCCUGCCCAGAUGCCGGCCUGCCUCUCAGCUUGACUUCCCUCCCCGGACUUUGGAGUGUCUUCUGCGUUAGGAUUUGGAUCCCAGUGGCCCUGGAGCGGCAGAAGGGCCGCGGCGAUAGGAAAGCAGCGAAGGAGGCCAGUGGCCGGAGUCUGCCCCAGCCCCCACCCGCGGGUAACCUUGGAGGCGCCCUCGGAGCACAGACUGAGGAAUUGCGCUUGGCCUAAUAAGAAUGAUUCCCCUGGGGGAAAGAAACAGAAGAGCAUUUGACAACUACAUGGGCUGGCAUAAUGGAUUGGAAUUUAAAGGUGCUACAAAUGUGCCACCAGUUUAUCACAUGGGACAUUUUCUCACCGAGUGAAGCAGGAAGCUGGUGGGCCUAGGCCAGGAAGGCAGAGUGAAAUUUCAUGACGCUUAGAAGACAAAGAGCCUUGCUAAAAUUAAGUGAAUGGUCCUGCAACAAAUACACAACAGGUCUCCCUUCUUAAGAAAUCCACCAGAUUGUGAAACUGCAUGGGGAGAGAAGCACGAAAGGAUUAAGUUUAAAACUCCAAAGCACAGAAAAAUGCUGAGGAGACAGGGACUCACGAGGCUUUCAAUCAGAAGCCUGAAAUGGUCACACUUGAGCAUGUUGCUGGCUGGAAAGGCAGAGUAAAAUGUCUUGUGAUUUCAUGGUGUUCAAAUCUCUGAAGGACAGAUGACUCUCCAUUGGUAUUUCAGGCUUUCCCUACAGUAGGCAAGUACUUUGGACCUACCAGUCUUUCAACAAAAAGCUCAGAAGGGUCACCUCUAAGGAACAGGUAUAAAUCAGAGGUGAACUAAGUUUCAUUAAAACUAUACCUCAGCUCCAACCUAGCUCAAUUCCAGAUUGGAUGUGGUGAUUUUCACCUUACCACAUCUAGUUAACAAGGAAAAGUUUGCACCAUCUCUGGGGGAAAAUAGUAUCACCUGUACUUUCUACUAUACACAAUAUAUGCAUAUAGUUA
rnacentral:lncRNA from 1 species